CGCUAGAGGCAGCUGGGCAGCAUUUGAGUCCGAGAAGCUGUACAAAUGCUAGUUAUUAUAAUGAAGGAAAAAUCCCAGUAAUGUCAAAUGCUGUAAUAACUUGUAGUGGGCAAAGCUCAGAAGAUUAGGUGGCUCAUUCCAUCCAGUUGGAAAAGAGAGAGCCCUUCAAACGUAGUCCUUCCCCACCCCACAGUGAACCUCAUCAGGGCUUCCAUCUCAUGUCACAAGAAUGAUGUUGCCUUUAUGAGUAGUAGACAUGACCUGAAAGGGUGAACAGCAGUGCCAAAAAGUCACAGAACUCAUAUUACACAAGCGAGGACUUUGGAGCCAAGGGAAACUUCAUCAAAUGCUGACAUAUCAAGCAGCAGCUUGCAGGACAGAGUCCCAAAGAGCAAUUCUCGGGAGAUGGAAGUCAGCAUCUCAUCCUUCUUAGGCAAACGAAUGGAAGAGAACAGUCCACCAGAACAAUGACAGAAAAGCUGACUAUUGAAGCCUUUCCAGGACUAGGUCAAAGGGGCAGCAUGCAAUCCAGGAGCUGCUUACGUGUUUGAUUUUGCAAAGGGACACAUUUCUGUUUAGCCAAAGUAAGCAGAGAUGCCUC